rnacentral:lncRNA from 10 species
AGUAGCGGAGACUACAGGCACCUGCCACUGCGCCUGGCUAAUUUUUUGUAUUUUUAGUAGAGAUGGGGUUUCACCGUGUUAGCCAGGAUGGUCUUGAUCUCCUGACCUCGUGAUCCGCCUGCCUCGGCCUCCCAAAGUGCUGGGAUUACAGGUGUGAGCCACCGUGCCUGGCCUGGAAAACAUUAAAAAAAAAACAAAAACAGAAGGAAAAGGGUGUUUGAGCCAAGAGGAAACUUCCCCUUUGCCCUCUGAAGUUUUGCUGAAAAAUCAACUGACAAAAGGCAAAUUAAUUGGAGAUAGGCUAUAUAAAUGUAUUUAAUAUUGCCUAAUAAAAAAGCCCCACCAGCUCUUUUCAGAGGUUGAGUCAGGGAAUUCUCUGUCUGUCUCGUGCUGCCUCCAUUAUGCCUGGACAUAAACUCCAAUGAAGCCUUGUCUGGGGAAACUAUUUUGGCCUCAUGUCAAUUCCUACUGCAUUGAGAGCCCCAAAACUCGUGGUCAGUAACAUAUUCUUUGGGGACUCAUCCAAGAUCACAGGACGUGGAGAGCCUUUCUCUAUCUGAGAGGGUGACUUGUGAGGUGACGGGACUGCUGGAAAAGAUCCCUUUAUGGCUGACAAGCAGCUGCCUGAAGUUUUGAUUCAGUGUCACCGCAAUGGGUGAGUCUUUCUCCAGCCUCCUGGAACUCCUCACCUUCCCCACACAGACGAUGCCUUUCUCCCUUCCCUUUCCUCCCUCUGUCUCCUUUCCUCUUCCUAUCUUUUCUGUCACUCAGGGCGCUUUGCCUCUCCUCUCCUAAUCCUUACUGGUUUGGGUUGCUUGAAUAGACAUCUAUGAGGGACGGGUUGAAACAGCCUCCCUAGUUUACUGGUCUGGGUCACCUGAAUAGCCACCCAUGCAGGAAGGAUGAAAACAGUUGACUAUCCAGGUCUGAUUAACUCAGCCGGCAUUGGGACAGGUCACAUCCCUCCCUGGCCUAAGUUGUUGUUGGCUCAAAUCCCAAGAAAAAAAUUCUCUCUCUCUCUUUUCCUCUCUCCCUCUCUGGCACCCUGAACUUUGAUCCUGUAACUAUUUGAAACCCCUCAUUAUGUCACUUCCCUAGGCCUGUAAUCUUUUAGAGUUUCUGUCUGUACAAAUGUAUAGUCCUGUCGGUUUGGGGAGACUGCCUGAGACACAGUGCUGGGGACGCCCAUCUAGUCUUCAGGAAGGCACCAGGGAUGCCUGGGUGCGACUGCCAGUAUUGGUUCUCUGCAUAACAGGAAAAGUUCAGAGUUCAAAUGGUUAACCUGCAACUAUAGAGAUAAGUAAACUUAACUUCAUAAAUUUAAAUUUGAGAGGCUUUCGCCUAUGGUUCCAUAAAACAGAAAAGAUGAUUUUCUUUUGUAGGCAUCUUGGCCCCCACAGGUAUGGCACAGAGAGCAGGGUCACCUGAGCCAUUCAGAGAAAGAUAACCCAAACCUCUGGCAUGCCUGUAAAAGGGAGCAUGACCUUGUUACCAUAUGGGGAUACUCUCUCGUGGUCUCUUCCAUCCAGAGGGCAGGAAUUAUCAGGUUCAUAUCAGGAGGCCAGUCUGAAAGGACCAGGAGGUUGAGAUGAGUCAGCACACUCUUGGUCCGAAGGUGUCAAGGCCUGGGGCCCAGAAGCUCCAAGUUAUCCUGGGAUGUCCAGAGGAGAGGAAUUC